AUGCCUCAUCAGGCUGCUGGCUACCUUCGCUGCCGCGGCGACAUCCUCCUCAUCCUGAUUCUCUCCUUCCUCGUCGGCACGGCCUUGGGGUCUGCGCUGGUGGGUGACAGCCGGGGCUCGGAGUUGGAUGGUCAAGAAAGGAGGACAUGGAGCGAGGCGUUCUUGGUGGCCGUGCACACGGGGCAGGUGUUCACAGCGGGUUCGCACACGCCGCACAGGGACAGGUGCCGGCAAUGGAGCAGCAGAACGCAGACGUCCCACGGCGACGGCGCAUGGGGGUUUACAGCAGCUGGUGCACGGAGGCCGGCAGCGAUGACCUCGUGGCUCUUAGCGACGCCAAGCCACGCCUGGCCCUCUACUGUCAUCUGUACAGUGUACACAUGCCAUGGCGGCCGCGCCAUCAAGCUCCAACACCAAGCCAAGCCACGCCUGGCCCUCUGCCGUCAUCUGGACGCAUGCCAUGGGCCAAGGUGGACACGGUCCGGGCCGGUCCGGUCCCUGACCGAGCCGCCGUUUGGACCGGCCGCCGGCGGGCCGAACCGGACCGGACCGACCAGCGCCGCGGUCCUCUUUUCAGGCACCGGACCGAUGGUGGUGAAGCUCGGGCCGGACCGAGAGGACCGCCCAUGCAGGCAUAUGGCGACGGUGAGCGGCGGUGCAUGGCGACGGCGAGCGGCGGCGCACGUCCGCAGGAGUCUAGGGGGCACGGGAAGGAGAAGGAGAGGGAAAAUAGCCGCGGGCCUCGCCCUCGCCACGCUCGGCAUGGCCGUCUCCAGGCUAGCCGAGAAGAAGCGCAUGGACACCUCGAGCGGUGCCGGCGGCGGCGUCACCAUCAGGCUCAGCGCGUUCUGGCUGGUGCCCCAGUUCUUGGUGGUGGGCGUCGGCGAGGCGUUCGAAGACCCCCGAGAGGAUGAAGUCCAUAGGCACGGGUCUGUUCCUGGCGUGGCUCUUGUUGCCUCCUGA
rnacentral:rRNA from 1 species